rnacentral:rRNA from 1 species
AUAUUAUUAAGCGGAGGAAAAGAAACUAACAAGGAUUCCCCUAGUAACGGCGAGUGAAGCGGGAAAAGCUCAACUUGAAAAUCGGUGUACCAAACGGUGCUCCGAGUUGUAGUCUAGAGACGCAUGAUCAGUGUGCGCCGCGGUUAUAAAUCUUUUGAAACAAGGUAUCAUAGAGGGUGAGAAUCCCGUUUAUGAACCGCAGUGCGCCACGUACGAUCUGUGUUCGAAGAGUUGAGUUCUUUGGGAUUGGAGCUCAAAAUGGGUGGUAAAUUUCAUCUAAAGCUAAAUAUCGACGAGAGACCGAUAGCGCACAAGUA